rnacentral:ncRNA from 1 species
AAAAGUUUGGUCCUAGCUUCACUAUCAAAUAUUUCCAAAAUUACACAUGCAAGUCUCAGCACCCCAGUGAGAACGCCCUUAAACCUCUAUCAGGCCAAGGAGCUGGUAUCAGGCACAAUUAUUGCCCAUAACACCUAGUCUCACCACACCUCCAAAGGCUAUCAGCAGUGAUAAACAUUAUAUAUAAGCGCCAGCUUGAAUUAGUUAAAGAAAAGAGAGCCGGCCAACUUGGUGCCAGCUGCCGCGGCUACACCAUAGGCUCAAAUUGAUAGUAAACGGCGUUAAGUGUGGCAGACAUAUUAAAUUAGCAUAAAACUUAAGCUCAGCUGUAAAAUGCUUGCCUACAGAAACCCAUAAUCGAAAGUUAUACUAAUCAACUCUCACCACGACAGCUUGGAACCAAACUGGGAUUAGAUACCCCACUAUGCCAAGCCACAAACAUUACUCACAAUAAUAAACGCCAGGGUAUUACGAGCCUAGCUUAAAACCCAAAGGACUUGACGGUGUCCCACCCCACUAGAGGAGCCUGUUCUAUAAUCGAUAAUCCACGUUAUACCUAACCAUUUUUUGCUUUUCAGCCUGUAUACCUCCGUCGCAAGCCUACCAUAUGAAUGAACAACAGCAGGCCAAAUAGCUUUAACCCUACAACGUCAGGUCAAGGUGCAGCUUAUAUAAUGGAAAGCAAUGGGCUACAAUUUCUAACUUAGAACAAACGAAUUACUAUAUGAAAUAUAGUUAUGAAGGCGGAUUUAGCAGUAAAUAGGGAAUAGAGAGCCCAAUUAAAUCUGGCCCUGGGACGUGUACAAACCGCCCGUCACCCUCUUUAAUAGCCUUAUUUAGAUUUAUAACCUUAUAUAGCAUUUUAAAAGAGGCAAGUCGUAACAUGGUAAGUGUACUGGAAAGUGCACUUGGUCUAA